AGCCACAGCCAUGUCACCCAGCAGCCAAAGACCGGUUACUCACUGAAGCUAAGCAGGGCUGAGCCUAGUCAGUACCUGGAUGGGAGACCACUAGGGAACACUAGGUUGCUGUUGGAA
rnacentral:rRNA from 1 species